rnacentral:rRNA from 1 species
GACGUAGGGCGCGAGCGUUGUCCGGAUUUAUUGGGCGUAAAGAGCUCGUAGGCGGCUUGUCGCGUCGACUGUGAAAUCCCGCGGCUCAACUGCGGGUCUGCAGUCGAUACGGGCAGGCUAGAGUUCGGUAGGGGAGACUGGAAUUCAUGGUGUAGCAGUGAAAUGCGUAGAGAUCAUGAGGAAGACCAGUGGCGAAGGCGGGUCUCUGGACAGUUCCUGACACUGAGGCACGAAGGCCAGGGGAGCAAACGGG